UCAAAAGGUCAUCAAAAAAGGAAAACCAACACGGUAGCCGACUCUCUCUACCGAGGCCCCGACAUUAUUGAUAGUAAUUGAAAUUCACAUCUCUCGUUGCUCUCCAUCUCUCCGAAACGCCAACAAAGACUAAACCAAAAAAGAAAAAAAAAACCUAACCCUAGAUUUUGAGCACCACGACCUCAAUGGCCAGCGAAUCCCAUGACUCGCGUCGCAAGCACCGUCGUUCUUCUUCAGACGAUGACGAAGCCGAGAAGUCAUCGAAGCGCCACAAGCAUCGUCACCACCACCACCGUCACCGCCACCGUAGCAAGAAACACGACGAGGAAUCCAAACCCGAGAGUGAGGAUACCAAUCCCACUCCUCUUCCUCUUCCUACUGUGGCUAACAAUUCUCGGCUCGAGGACGAUGUGGAGGAGGGUGAGAUUCUCGAAGACGAGGGUUUCGGUGGUGGCGAGAUUGCGAAGAAGAAAUUCGAGUCCGACGAUGAGGCUGGGGAAAUCGCGGCCGUUCAUGUUCGCGAUGAAUCUGAUAAGCUAAAUCUGGGACAUUGUGCUGAGCAUCGAUCAUCUGAUCGUGAAGCUAGUCUUCACAUGGAAGAGAGUGUGGGGAACAAGGGUACAAAUUCAAAGACUUUUGGAGAUGACAAGAGUGAAGAUGAUUUAAUGAUUAAUUCCAAAUUAGAUAAGGAAGACAAAACAUACCACCAGCACCAUGAGGUUGGCUUUUUAAGAAAUACAUGUGUUGAGCCUCAAGAUGAAUCUAGAGUUAGCUCAAAGGGUCACGUCAAUGGGGAUUUGGGUCACGAGUCUAGAAAAGAGGAAAAGAAGUGGCUGAGGGAAUCUGGGUCCCCUUCUAAAGGAAUUGGUAAGCUGAAGAGUUACUAUGAUGAUGAAAAGAUUGAGGUUGAAGAAAGCAUAUUGAGCAAUCAUAGAAAGUCUUCUUCUCAUAGCACAGAGGACCGUGGCGAAGUCCAUACUAGGAGCAGAUCUAGAUCAAUUGGUGCUAGGGAGAGAUCUCGUUCCCGUAGCAUGAGAGAAGAGGAGGCUCAUUCAAAAAGAAGACGUUAUCAUGAUUCUGAUGCCUCAUUAUAUGUUGAUAAGGGCAAGUUUGAGUAUGACUCUGACUAUGAAAGAAAGGUUCGACGGAUUAGGGAUGGACGACAUGGUAGUAGAGAUUUGGUAAGAGAUGAGGAAAGGGACCGUAGUAUUAGUCAUAGUAGAUAUAUUGGAGAAGAGGAUUGGUAUCGUAAUCGGGCUGCACAUGACAGGGAGAGGAGCAUGGACAGGGAUAUGGAUAAGGACUUGAGACGGGAAAAGGAAAGGGUUAGGGAUAGUGAGAUAGACAGGGCUCAGAGAAGGGACAGGGACAGGGACAGAGGUGGGAGUAGGGACAGGGCCAGAGAUAUGGACAGGAAAAGGGAUAUGGAGCGAGAUAGGAACAAGGAAAGAGAGGUGGGCAGGGAUAGGAGAAGGGAGAAGGAAAGAGAUAAAAACUGGGAUAAAGAGGUGGAUAGAGAUGGGAAAAGGGAGAAGGAAAGUGAUAGGAGCAGGGCUAGUGAAAGAGAUAGAGAUAGGGAUAGAGAAAGGGAGAAGGAUAGGGACAAAGGGAGGGAGAAUGAGAGGGAGAGGAGAGAUGAUAGAAGUAGGAAUAAGGAUAGAGGUAUUGUAAAUGGUUGGGAGAAGUAUGAAAAUCUUGAAGAUGGCUAUGACAAUGGAAGAUAUAAACAUUCUAGGCGCUCGAGACAUGAUGAAAAAGAAUACAACCAGGAUAGAACAAGAAAAAGUGAUCCAGAAAAGGUUCCUGGUUUUAAGAGCAAUCCAUUGGAAGGAUAUAGAGACAAACAAAAAAGAGAUGAAGAUGAUCAUGGAGACUAUGAAGAAGCGACUGCAUUGCAAUUUGCUGAGCAGGAAGAGGAGGAUCUCAACAGAAUCAAGGAGGAGAGUCGAAGGCGAAGGCAAGCCAUCCUAGAAAAAUAUAAGAGUCAGCAGCCACAGCAACCAAAUGAACCACAGUCAGAAGAUGUUAAGAAAGAUAAGGAGCCUGCACAUGAUCCUGAUCAAUCAAUAGCUGCUAAUAAUGUUGUUCCAGAAGUUGGUGAUGGUCGGAAUGAUGUUGUAGAUGACUAUGUUGCUGAACCAUCAUUUUCUGUUGGGAAAUCACCCCCACAGAAUGGAGUUGCUGCUUUUGAGAAGACUUCUGGUGCUGGAGGCCUUGGCGAGGGUACUCCUAAGAGUGAGAGGUCAGAUGACAAGUUCUGUGAUGAUAUUUUUGGUGAGACCCCAACAGGAGUCCGCAAAUCUGGAAAAGGUGAUGGUUUACGAAUAGAAAGGAGUGGUCUUCAUGACAACUGGGAUGAUGCAGAAGGGUAUUAUAGCUACCGGUUUGGUGAAACACUUGAUGGGCGAUAUGAAGUUAUUGCUGCUCAUGGGAAAGGUGUCUUUUCUACUGUAGUUCGUGCAAAGAAUCUUAAGGCUGGUAAUGGUGAACCAGAGGAAGUAGCCAUAAAAAUUAUACGCAGUAAUGAUACAAUGUACAAGACUGGUUUGGAGGAGCUGGUCAUAUUAAAGAAACUAGUUGGUGCAGAUCCAGAUGACAAGCGCCAUUGUGUUCGGUUUCUUUCAAGUUUCAAGUACCGGAAUCAUCUUUGUCUAGUUUUUGAAUCUCUUCAUAUGAAUUUGCGAGAGGUUUUAAAGAAGUUUGGACGCAAUAUUGGCCUGAAGCUAACUGCUGUGAGAGCAUAUGCAAAGCAACUUUUUAUUGCACUGAAACAUCUUAGAAAUUGUGGUGUUCUUCAUUGUGAUAUAAAGCCGGAUAAUAUGCUUGUAAAUGAGGCAAAAAAUGUGCUGAAGCUUUGUGACUUUGGCAAUGCGAUGUUUGCCGGUAAAAAUGAAAUUACACCAUACCUUGUAAGCCGCUUUUAUCGUGCCCCUGAAAUAAUUCUUGGUUUGACUUAUGAUCAUCCAAUGGAUAUGUGGUCUGUGGGUUGCUGUUUGUAUGAGCUAUAUACAGGAAAGGUUCUCUUUCCAGGUCCUACAAACAAUGACAUGCUACGACUUCACAUGGAAUUGAAAGGCCCUUUCCCAAAGAAGAUGCUCCGGAAGGGAGCAUUUACUGAUCAGCAUUUUGAUCAUGACCUGAAUUUUCAUGCUACAGAAGAGGAUCCUGUCACAAAAAAGACUAUAAAGCGGAUGAUUUUUAACAUAAAGCCAAAAGAUAUUGGAUCUAUUGUUGUGGGCUCUCCUGGGGAGGAUCCAAAGAUGUUAGCCAAUUUUAAAGAUCUUCUAGAAAAAGUUUUUGUGUUGGAUCCAGACAAGAGGAUGACAGUGUCACAAGCAUUGACCCAUCCGUUCAUCACGGGCAAGUGAACCAUGUUGCUGAUUUUAUGACUCCAGAAAUGCUGUUCCGCUAGAUAUUUGUACAUUAUGAUCUAAUUCAUUUUCAGUUUCUAAUUACUGGGCAUUAUCUGUCUUCUCUGUGAUGGCCUAAGAGCUUUCAACACAGUUUUGGCAUGGUUGAAGUCAAAAGGGGGUGAUGUUUGGUCUGGAGGACUCUUUACUGGCGGGUUCUUUCAGUGGAUUGUACUGUUUCUAUCGAUGUCUGCCACUGCUUUGAGGCAACCCUCCAGUGCUUAGAUGCUUAAAAGGCACCCAGGAGAAGGUAUCUUGGUUUGUUUAUGGGUGAUUAUUGUGACAGCAUUAGAAGUCGAUAUUGUGAUUUCUCUUUCAAAUAUUGUGUUUCUGUUGUCUUUAGAAAUAGUUACUGGAUUUUAAUGGAAUUCUGUUAAAAAUUA